UAGGGAGUAUUCGGCAAUGGAGGGAACUCUGACCGAGCAACGCCGCGUGAAUGACGAAGGUCUUCGGAUUGUAAAAUUCUGUUAUAUGGGAAGAAAGGCUGUUAGAGGGAAUGCUAAUAGAUUGACCGUACCAUAUGAGAAAGCCACGGCUAACUACGUGCCAGCAGCCGCGGUAAUACGUAGGUGGCAAGCGUUAUCCGGAAUUAUUGGGCGUAAAGAGAGAGCAGGCGGUUAUUUAAGUCUGAAGUGAAAAGCAGUGGCUCAACCAUUGUAGGCUUUGGAAACUGGAUAGCUAGAGUGCAAGAGAGGUUAGCGGAACUCCAUGUGUAGCGGUGAAAUGCGUAGAUAUAUGGAAGAACACCAGUGGCGAAGGCGGCUAACUAGCUUGAAACUGACGCUCAGUCUCGAAAGCGUGGGUAGCAAAUAGG
rnacentral:rRNA from 1 species